UGGGGGGUUCCGUUUGUAGGGCGGGGCUGGACCUCUCGGGGUUACAGCCUUGCUGAAUUAUUCACCCUUGUCUUUUGCGUACUUCUUGUUUCCUUGGUGGGUUCGCCCACCACUAGGACAAACAUAAACCUUUUGUAAUUGCAAUCAGCGUCAGUAACAAAUUAAUAAUUACAACUUUCAACAACGGAUCUCUUGGUUCUGGCAUCGAUGAAGAACGCAGCGAAAUGCGAUAAGUAGUGUGAAUUGCAGAAUUCAGUGAAUCAUCGAAUCUUUGAACGCACAUUGCGCCCUUUGGUAUUCCAAAGGGCAUGCCUGUUCGAGCGUCAUUUGUACCCUCAAGCUUUGCUUGGUGUUGGGCGUCUUGUCUCUAGCUUUGCUGGAGACUCGCCUUAAAGUAAUUGGCAGCCGGCCUACUGGUUUCGGAGCGCAGCACAAGUCGCACUCUCUAUCAGCAAAGGUCUAGCAUCCACUAAGCCUUUUUUUCAACUUUUGACCUCGGAUCAGGUAGGGAUACCCGCUGAACUUAAGCAUAUCAAUAAGCGGAGGAA
rnacentral:rRNA from 1 species